rnacentral:rRNA from 1 species
GACGAACGCUGGCGGCGUGCUUAACACAUGCAAGUCGAGCGGAGAAUAUAGCAAUAUAUUCUUAGCGGCGGACGGGUGAGUAACGCGUGGGCAAUCUACCUCAUACAGGGGGAUAACACUGGGAAACUAGUGCUACUACCGCAUAAAAUAAUGAAGUGGCAUCACUUUAUUAUCAAAGGAGAAAUCCGGUGUGAGAUGAGCCCGCGUCUGAGUAGCUAGUUGGUGGGGUAACGGCCCACCAAGGCGACGAUCGGUAGCCGAACUGAGAGGUUGAUCGGCCACAUUGGGACUGAGACACGGCCCAGACUCCUACUGGAGGCAGCAGUGGGGAAUAUUGCGCAAUGGGGGAAACCCUGACGCAGCAACGCCGCGUGAAGGAUGAAGGUUUUCGGAUUGUAAACUUCUUUGAUUGGGGAAGAUAAUGACGGUACCCAAAAAACAAGCCACGGCUAACUACGUGCCAGCCGCCGCCGUAA